UCUCACUUCUUCAUCACAAACUUCUUCUUCCCAUUAACCAACCCCAAUUUUUCUCACACGGACAAAAACACAAAUACAAAACAAACACUCUGUUCCCCUCUGAUCUCUCUGCCUCUCAGAGCCGUGGAUGAAGAAUACAACGUCAUAGUGCUCGGAACGGGCCUCAAAGAAUGCAUUCUCAGCGUCCUCCUCACCUCUCAGUGGACGGUCUCAAGGUACUGCAUAUGGAUAGGAAUGACUACUAUGGAGGAGAGUCCACCUCUCUUAAUCUCAACCAGAUAUAAUUAUAUACAUGUAUAUUGUUAUUUAGAGAGAGAGGGAGGGAGAGAAAGGCAAAGUGUACAAGCAAUCCAAGCCUUGAGUGUUGGUCAUUUGAGCUGCUUGUAUCUUGCUCUCUGGUCUUUUACUAAAUCCAGCUCUUUCCUUCUUCUUUUUUUGUCAAAAAAUUCGGCUCCUUCUGUUCUGUCUAUAAGGUCAGCUGCCACUUGUGGACAUUGUUUUUACUCUUUGUAGAUCGAUUGAAAUUCUAAGUGAGCAGUUGUUAGGGGAAAUCUCAAGAGCCUUGAAGCCUCUGAUUCUUCCACAGGGGAAAGGCAUAAGACCACCUAUGUAAUUCAGCACAACCUACUACUGUCUAGUUUUCUAGAAGCACAAGCUCUUCAGAUGAAAUCAAAUUUAUCAUAUGAGUUGUUCUUUCGGGCUAAAAAGUUUGAAGAUUGGUUCAUCAAAAGACCAUGAGAAGUUUACCAAAAGUUCAGAUCAAUGAUGGUAUUUGAUUGAUGAAGAUAGUCUGUUGACACAGAAAAGGACCUAAAGAAACCCAGCUGCUUCUAUGUAAAGCAUCCUGGUUCUAAUUAUUUAUUUAUGUUUUUGUGAUUUGUUUAUAGUGUUUUGUCAACUUUGUGAGAUUUUUUGGGGUUAACUACAAUUUUUGUGAUUUUUUAACCAUAAACUGAGCAAGCUGCAAAAUUGUGAGUUGGAAGCACAAGGAAAGCUUGUAAAAAUUGAAAUGGUGUUGGAGCUCAUGCUGCUGUCAAGCCUUUUGUAUGUGCUAGAUGUAUGUGUGCAGCAUGUUGAUCAUGCUGUCAAGCCUUUUU